CCGGCUGCCGCGGAGGCAGGCGGCGAGAUGGGCGCGCUGUUUGCAUUCGCCCGCAGUCAUUUUUAUCCGCGGAGGGUUACAAAGCCCCAAACAGAUCUACCCGCUGAGGCGGCUGAGAAAAGGCGGUUCGGCAGGUGCAGCGCUGUCAGGAGAUGAGACGGCAAGCUAGACACACAUCUGCUUUGAGACAGGAAUUACACUGGAGAACUUCAUUACCCACACUGCAUCCACUGAGUUCAUAGCACCUCCUGGAAUGAACCAUGGUCUCCUAAGGGCGGUUUUGUUUGAUGGU